rnacentral:rRNA from 1 species
CCUACUGGUGGCAGCAGUGGGGAAUAUUGCACAAUGGGCGAAAGCCUGAUGCAGCAACGCCGCGUGAAGGAAGACAGUUUUCGGAUUGUAAACUUCUUUCAAUAGGGAAGAACGAAAUGACGGUACCUAAAUAAGAAGCCCCGGCUAACUACGUGCCAGCAGCCGCGGUAAUACGUAGGGGGCAAGCGUUAUCCGGAAUUACUGGGUGUAAAGGGAGAGUAGGCGGCAAGGUAAGCGAUAUGUGAAAGCCUUAAGCUUAACUAAAGGAUUGCAUAACGAACUAUCUAGAUAGAGUACAGGAGAGGAAAGCGGAAUUCCGAGUGUAGCGGUGAAAUGCGUAGAUAUUAGGAAGAACACCAGUGGCGAAGGCGGCUUUCUGGACUGAAACUGACGCUGAGGCUCGAAAGCGUGGGGAGCGAACAGGAUUAGAUACCCCGGUAGUC